AUCCCGGUAGCGCAAUAGAUAGCUCAUUCGACUUCUAAUCCAAAGGGCAUGGGUUUGAAUUCCAUCCGGGAUG